GUCCAAUGCGAGCUGUUGCGUUUCCAUUAGUGUCCGGAGUUGUACUUUACACUGGCGACGAGAGGGAUUUUUAUUUUCUACCCCGCGGUCUUCAAAAUUGGAAAUAUUCGUAGAAGGAACUUGGAGAACCACACCGGUAUAAAUUCGACAAAAACCUAUACGAUCUGGAUGGAAAUAAUAAGACUAGGAUUCAUCCGUUUCGAACGAGAAAGGCAAGUUAGAUGAAUGGGCCAGCGGAACAUGAAUCGAAAAAGAAGAGAAGGAUGAAAUUGAAAACAGGGAACGGGAAAGUAUUUUCCAGCCAAUUCCAUCAUUUUUACGAAAAAAAGUGAAUAAAUGAAAAUAUUUUAUUUGAUUCAAU